GUCGAACGGCAGCGGGGUAGUGCUUGCACUACUGUCCGGCGAGUGGCGAACGGGUGAGUAAUAUAUCGGAACGUACCGAGUAAUGGGGGAUAACCAAUCGAAAGAUUGGCUAAUACCGCAUACGUCCUGAGGGAGAAAGCGGGGGAUCGCAAGACCUCGCGUUAUUCGAGCGGCCGAUAACUGAUUAGCUAGUUGGUGGGGUAAGGGCCUACCAAGGCGACGAUCAGUAGCGGGUCUGAGAGGACGAUCCGCCACACUGGGACUGAGACACGGCCCAGACUCCUACGGGAGGCAGCAGUGGGGAAUUUUGGACAAUGGGGGCAACCCUGAUCCAGCCAUGCCGCGUGUAUGAAGAAGGCCUUCGGGUUGUAAAGUACUUUUGUUAGGGAAGAAAAGGGAAGUGCUAAUACCACUUUUUGCUGACGGUACCUAAAGAAUAAGCACCGGCUAACUACGUGCCAGCAGCCGCGGUAAUACGUAGGGUGCGAGCGUUAAUCGGAAUUACUGGGCGUAAAGCGAGCGCAGACGGUUAUUUAA
rnacentral:rRNA from 1 species